rnacentral:rRNA from 1 species
CCUACGGGGGGCAGCAGUGAGGAAUAUUGGUCAAUGGUCGGGAGACUGAUCCAGCAAAGCCGCGUGAGGGAGGAAGGUACAGAGUAUCGUAAACCUCUUUUGUCAGGGAACAAAGGCGGGGACGUGUCCCCGGAUUAGUGUACCUUAAUAACAAGCAUCGACUAACUCCGUGCCAGCAGCCGCGUUAAUACGGAGGAUGCGAGCGGUAUCCGGAUUUAUUGGGGUUAAAGGGUGCGCAGGCGGUCUGUUAACUCAGCGGUCAAAGCCCGGGGCUCAACCCCGGCCCGCAGUUGAAACUGGCAGUCUCGAGUGGGAGAGAAGGAUGCGGAAUGCGAGGUGUAGCGGUGAAAUGCAUAGAUAUCGGGCAGAACACCGAUUGCGAAGGCAGCAUGCCGGCUCCACACUGACGCUGAGGCACGAAAGCGUGGGUAUCGAACAGGAUUAGAUACCCUAGUAGUC